AGGCUACAGGCUUCAUCAUGUCUGUGCCCUCCGUGCCACCCCUGGGGUUUUUAAUGCCACUCGUGCCCACACUCAAGUGUUUUGAAGAAUGUAAAAUCCAGUGUGUGAUAAACAUGUGUAAAGAAACCUUUCGUAAGAAGCCAGAAGAGCUUUACAACAAUCUUGGACUGGGAGAUGGAGGCCAUCAUAAACUUCUUGUAGGAUGAGUUGCCGCAGACAGAGAUGAAAACCAUGAUGAAUGUCCGUGAGCCAGAGGCUAUGAUUUGUUUAGUACAACAAUGCGAGGGACUUAACAAAAUUGAGGCGGAAAUAUUCUUGAGGCAGUGUCGGUGCAUGGAAGAAACGGAAACAUUGGAUUAAGGAUUUAUUUCAUAGUGAAUUACACAGUCACAAAUGGAUUACACACGUUCUGGAUUAGACUAGUUUCUGCUGCAACUGACAUUUUUGCAGGUGCCCACUCGUAGGCGAUUCCUUGAUGUCUUCCUUGGAUUUUACAUGAUAUUAUGUCAUUUUCGCCAACAUCGGGUUUUGGCGCCAAGACGUUUGUUCCUAGAACAGUUGAUUUAAAUGCCGAAUGUGGUCAGUUUGAAUUUAUAUCGCAGGU